GAAUGCUGUGAUCACCAAUAGUCAGCAUGGAUUUCUGAAAAUAAGUCAUGUCAGACUAACCUGAUCUCGUUUUUUGACAGAAUUACAAGCCUGGUAGAUGAAGGGAACGCAGUGGAUGUAGCCUACCUUGAUUUCAGCAAGGCAUUUGACAAGGUGCCCCAUGAUAUUCUUGUAAAGAAGCUGGUAAAAUGCGGUCUUGACUAUGCUACCACUCAGUGGAUUUGUAACUGGCUGACUGACCGAACCCAAAGGGUGCUCAUCAAUGGUUCCUCUUCAUCCUGGAGAAGAGUGACUAGUGGGUGCCACAGGGUUCUGUCUUGGGCCCGGUCUUAUUCAACAUCUUUAUCAACGACUUGGAUGAUGGACUCAAGGGCAUCCUGAUCAAAUUUGCAGAUGACACUAAACUGGGAGGGGUGGCUAACACCCCAGAGGACAGGAUCACACUUCAAAACGACCUUGACAGAUUAGAGAACUGGGCCAAAACAAACAAGAUGAAUUUUAACAGGGAGAAAUGUAAAGUAUUGCACUUGGGCAAAAAAAUGAGAGGCACAAAUACAAGAUGGGUGACACCUGGCUUGAGAGCAGUACAUGUGAAAAGGAUCUAGGAGUCUUGGUUGACCACAAACUUGACAUGAGCCAACAGUGUGACGCGGCAGCUAAAAAGCCAAUGCAAUUCUGGGCUGCAUCAAUAGGAGUAUAGCAUCUAGAUCAAGGGAAGUAAUAGUGCCACUGUAUUCUGCUCUGGUCAGACCUCACCUGGAGUACUGUGUCCAGUUCUGGGCACCACAGUUCAAGAAGGACACUGACAAACUGGAACGUGUCCAGAGGAGGGCAACCAAAAUGGUCAAAGGCCUGGAAACGAUGCCUUAUGAGGAACGGCUAAGGGAGCUGGGCAUGUUUAGCCUGGAGAAGAGGAGGUUAAGGGGUGAUAUGAUAGCCAUGUUCAAAUAUAUAAAAGGAUGUCACAUAGAGGAGGGAGAAAGGUUGUUUUCUGCUGCUCCAGAGAAGCGGACACGGAGCAAUGGAUCCAAACUACAAGAAAGAAGAUUCCACCUAAACAUUAGGAAGAACUUCCUGACAGUAAGAGCUGUUCGACAGUGGAAUUUGCUGCCAAGGAGUGUGGUGGAGUCUCCUUCUUUGGAGGUCUUUAAGCAGAGGCUUGACAACCAUAUGUCAGGAGUGCUCUGAUGGUGUUUCCUGCUUGGCAGGGGGUUGGACUCGAUGGCCCUUGUGGUCUCUUCCAACUCUAUGAUUCUAUGAUUCAGGGAGACUGAACAGUCUACACACAUUUUGAUUAAUGUCUGUGACUGUGGAUCAUUCAAAGGUGUGCCAAUGUACUGUAUUAUGUCUUGACUUCAUCUCAUUUGAGAUCAUUUACAGCCCAAUUCACAGCACACACAAACCCAGGUUUUUGAUUUAAAGGCACUGACACCAUAGGAGCCAACUAUUAACUCUAGUGUAAAUGAACUGCGGUUUAAGGUGAAUGUUAAGUCAAUAAUUUCUAAACAAUUUAGAACAGAGGCCAAAAUCCAUCCUUCAGGUAAGGGGUGCUGCAAAAUGUGAUAGGAGCAGCAAAUGUCAUCUCAGUUCCUUCAGUGCUACAGCUGCCAACUGGGGAUUAUGGAAACCAUAGAUGGGGGAGGUUAUUUUUCAGUUCCAGUUCCUACAGUAUUUCUAGGGAUGAUUUGGUUGGCUUCCAAACACUACAUGUUUUGUUAAAACUUCAGUAUUUUCUGUUUUAAUCUUAAAAGAUGGUUUUGAGACCAUGCAUGGAACUAAAGAGAGACAAGACACAAAGACUGAGUGAACUGGGCCUUAUUUCCAUAUUUCUUCCCCAUGGUCACUUUUGUGAUAUGACAUGAGGUGUAGCAUCAAUCCCAUGCUUCUUUACUUGCUCAUUAUUUUAAGUGCUGUCCCUUAGUGAACCUUUUAAAAAUGCCUUUUAAUACAGGCAAUUGUUCUCCGUUCUGCACAUCCAACCAGAAAAUGGUCAUGAAUUUCAAUCAUAUUUGCCCCGAUGAGAUCAACAUCCACAUUACAUUUUUAUUCUGCACCCAUCUGCUAGAAAUGGAUUCCAAGAAGAAUUGUGACACUUAAUUAUAGAAAUGGAAAAGAUUUAUUGCCACAUUUUGUUUCUCUUGAGACUUUCUGGUUUGGCAUAAUUGCUAGCUUUAUGGAAAAGUUCCCACCCCAAAUAAUUAAUCCUUCAGGUUACAUUAUGAAGAACCUUUAGAAGUUUCACAGAGAUAGGACUCUCUGCUCAUCUAUUUGUAGGACAAUGAUGGACACUCUGCCACAGAAUUAGGAUCCCUUUCAGGGCCAGCACCAGAUUUCAGGAGGCUCAUGGCAUAGCACCACUGAUAGCUUUCCCAGUACACACACAUGAGUGAAAUCCCAGAACAGCAUGUUAGCGGUGGGUGAGUGGUGGUCCUACUUUUGAAUGGGAACUAUGUUCAGUCACCAUUCACAGAACUGCCCACCAUCUUAAUUUCCCACAAACCCAAUGCUCCUGUGGCCCAGCAGGGAGAGCAGUGAGUUGUGGCAAAGCCAGGUUGGGUUGCUGGUCACCUGGGAUCUUUGGCCAGUGUCCAACCUGGCUGACCACUGACACUAGGCCUGAUGUCCCUCUCCCGACCAGGGUUGUCAGUUGGCUGCCAUCAAAACUGGGGGGAUGGCAUUUACCCCUUUGCUCUCUGUAUGGCACUGCCUCUGUUGCAAUAAAUAUGGAGUGGCUUUGGAUGGCACUCAAGACCCCUUCCAUAGCACAGGAAUGGGGAACCUGUGGUGGUUUGGAUGUUCUUUGCCUCCAAUUCCAAACAGCCCUAGUCAACGUGGUCAAUUGUCAGGGGCUAAUGGAAGCUUUAGUCCACCAAAUCUAAAGGGCAACAGCUUCCCCAUUCCCACAUUAGCAGCUACGCUUUUCACAUUGUGUUCCUCAUGCUGAUGGAAGAGUAGUGAAUCACGUGGUGCAAACUACCUCCUCCAUCCCCAAGUAAUGGUGUCAUCCACAGGCAGAACUGCCCUUGUUGUAGAGGCGAUAGAGCACAAGUGAUCCAGGCCUCUUUACUAGCUUCUCCUCAUCUCCUUCGGUGGCAAACUUGGCACUUAUACAAAGCUACUAUAACUGAGAACAAGAAUGUGUGACAGCCGAGGGGGCCACUAGGGGGUGCAUCAGAAGAUGGCUGACAAAAACAUCUCUCUGACCCACACGAGGUAAUUUGGAGGCUAUGAUGGGAGUAAUUAGCCUCCCUACCCCCCCCCCAGGAUGGUGGGGGGGACUGCCCUUGCCUCCUGUGCCCUAUACCACCCCCGAAUUUGUGGGGAUAGGGGCACUAGGCACAAAGCCCUCCUGUGGGAUUUCGGCGCUCCUGGACGCCAUCUCUGAUCCGCGCCACUAGCUGCAAGAACUUCAAAAGAAACAAUUUGGGACUUCCGGAGGCGGCGCCAACAAGCAAUGGCGAUCUUCUCCUAAUCCCGGAGGAGAGGCUCCGCGAAAAUCGGGUCGAUCCGCUACGGCGCAGCGGAGACCCUUUCGAAACCCGCAGGCGGAGGAAGCCUGCGGUCGUGGGACUCGGCGGGUGCCUGGAGCGCGCCCCUAAACGGCAAAGGAACCCCGCGAGGGGCUCCGAAGCAGGACGGGGUGGCGCGGCACUGUGAGUCUUCUGCUACUUUCGCGGAGUGAAGCCGUGCGGCUGUUGCUGGAGAGCGCUGACCUUUCUUCCUUGACAAUUUGGCUGUCAAAACUACAACCCGUGAGUAGGUUUGACGUUAUAGAAGGACCAACUAAAAUUUUUGAAUAAAUUUGGCUGAAGCGGGAAGGUGUAAAAAGGAAGUCCACCUCCCGGUUUGUAUAAAGGAUUAAAGCAAAGACUGUGUGAGUUCGAUACCAAAGACUGUCAAAAGAGACUGAAACACAGACGUCAAAUUUAAAAAUUUUCCCUCCCAUAAUUGGAGAAGGGGGGGAAGAAGGGACAGUAUUUCUUGUUAUUUUUGUGUAAAAUAAAGAGUGAUAAGGAAACGAAGACCACCUCUCAAUCCCUGGGGACAGACUGCCAGGUUUGGAAAGAUUGGAUAUUUUGUUAGCACUCUAAAUGGACAAUGUAUCUUCUUGCCUAUUAACUUCACAAAAUUGAAACUUUGGGGGAAAAAAGUUGCCUCUUUGGCUGAAGGGGUUCUUAAAAAGUUUUUAAGAGUUUUUAUUCUUGAUACUUUAUUACUUGUGUCCCCCUGGAGGCCAAAGGGGAAAAAGUUUCUAACUGACUGAGGAAUUUUCCACUCAACAGCAGCCUGGGAAAGCUUAACAGCAAAACAACUCCAACUGUGAGAGUGACCUUGAUUUCUAGAUAAAGUGCCAUGGAUGAAAGAACCUUGAGGUCCGGGAAAGGCAGGCAACAGAGCAACAUUGCUCAACAGCAACAGCGCAGGCCAUCCAUCGCUGGGCCACAAGGAGAUGAUCCAAUGCAAACAAAAGGGGAAGAAGGACUUGCCAGUUUAUUUAAAAUUGUUAAUGAAGGUUUUGAAAAAUUGGGUCAACAGAAUGCCGAGGCACUAGAAGCUAUUAGACAAAACUCUGCAAGUAUUGAUAAGCUGACUCGACAGACUAAUGAAAAUACAGAUGCGAUCAAAAAAUUACUGGAACAAUCUGCUGAAACCCAAAAAAUAGCUUUGGAAGCUAGAGAAAAGGCGGUAGCUGCUGAAGAAAAAUUACCACCUUUAAUUAAACAAGUUGAAGAGCAUCACAUAAGAUUGGGAACGCACCAGGAAUUGUUAUCUGUGAUUGAGCUAAAGGCGAAACAGACCAACUUAAGGAUCAGAGCAGUACCUGAGCUUGAGAAAGAGAGCCUGGUAGACUUUUUGACACAAGAAUUUGCCAAUUUUGGCAAUUGAAUGAUAAGGAAGAUUUCAAGAUAACGUCUGCUUUCAGGCUUGGAAGAGGAGCAAGAAAGAACAGAGUGAGAGACUGCCUGAUUACCUUGCGAUCUAAGGAGGAACGAGAUAAAAUUUUGAGCUCACACUACCGAAAUACAUUGAUAAUACAAGACUCAAGGAUAGAAAUAUUUAAAGACAUUCCAAAGUUCCUUUUGGAGCUUAGGUCCAACUACCGGGACCUGGUGACGCUGCUGAGAGGAAACAGAAUUUUUUUCAGGUGGGAAUUUCCUCAAGGCCUAUCUUUCAGUUUUAAAGGCAAGAAAAUUAAAAUAAAAUCUGUGGAGGAGAAACAGAACUUUUGAGAGACCAUCAAGAGGACCUACAAAAAGGAUUGGGGGAGGAGCCAGAAGCCUCUUUACCAGGAUUGGAUCCUACAUCACCACCUUCGGGAGAGGACAAGACAGAGAAGGUGAAACCACCAACAGAGGAAGAAGAGUUAUUGGGAGCAGUUGGAGGAAAAUAAAGAAACCAUCAUGGCUCUGCAACUUUUAACUUGGAAUGUUUGUGGCCUAAAUUCUCCGGAAAAAAGGAGGAAAGUAUUUCAUAUACUUAAAAAAGAACAAUUGGAUUUAAUUUGCUUACAGGAAACUCAUGUGAUGAGGCUCCACAGGAAAAUAUUGAUUAAUAAGAGAUUGGGCCAAGAAUUUAUUUCAUCAGAUAAAGUUAAAAAACGAGGAGUGGUCAUUUACGCAAAGGAGAGCCUCUCACCAAAAUUCGUCUUUAAGGAUGAACAAGGAAGACUCAUAGCAAUUGAAAUUCAAGUACAAGGAGAAAAAUUUUUGAUAGUAGGCUUAUAUGCACCAAAUGACGCGACAUCUAUAUUUUACAAAAAGUUGCAUGAGAUCUUGAUGGACUAUAUGGACUAUAACACUGUUUUUAUGGGAGAUAUGAAUGGGGUGGUUUCCACAAAUAUGGACAAGUCACAAAGAGAGGUAGUCACUAAAGAUGGCAGACUACCGAAAACAUUCUUUGAAUUAACUGACAAUAUGGAUCUGAUUGACAUUUGGAGAACUAGGAAUCCCCUUGGUAGAGAAGGAACCUUUUUUUCUGAAGCCCAAAAGACAUGGACAAGAAUUGACCAAAUCUGGACUACUAGAGGACUGGCACCUAAGGUUAGGAAGGUAGAGAUCUGCCCAAAAACAUGCUCCGACCAUAACGCCGUGAGAAUGGAGAUGAAGUUAACAUCUACUGGUUCCUUCCGAUGGAGGAUGAAUGACACCUUGUUUAGAGAUCAAGAGGUGAUUAAGAAGGCCCAAAAGACUUUGAGAGACUACUUUGAGAUAAAUUUGAAUACAGCUGUAGAAAAAGAAUAAUCUGGGACGCAAGUAAAGCAGUUAUGAGGGGCUUCCUGAUUCAACAGAAUUCAGUUAAGAAGAGGGCCCAAAAUGU
rnacentral:lncRNA from 1 species